UACGAAGGGGGCUAGCGUUGCUCGGAAUCACUGGGCGUAAAGCGCACGUAGGCGGCCUACUAAGUCAGGGGUGAAAUCCUGGAGCUCAACUCCAGAACUGCCUUUGAUACUGGUGGGCUUGAGUCCGGGAGAGGUGAGUGGAACUGCGAGUGUAGAGGUGAAAUUCGUAGAUAUUCGCAAGAACACCAGUGGCGAAGGCGGCUCACUGGCCCGAUACUGACGCUGAGGCACGAAAGCGUGGGGAGCAAACAGG
rnacentral:rRNA from 1 species